rnacentral:lncRNA from 1 species
AAAAAUAAAAGCCAAAGAUGUAAUUUAAAAAUGGGCAAUAAGCCUAAAUAGACAUCUGUCUAAAAAAGACAUAGAAAUGGCCAAUGGGUAUAUGACAAAAUAUUCAUAUAAUUCAUCAUCAGGGAAAUGCAAAUCAAAACACAGUUAUCACCUUACUCCAGUAAAAAUGGCACUUAUCAAAGCAAAAGAUAGAAUGAGCUGAUGAGGAUGUGGAGAGAAAGUUUAGCAAUUAUGAAAAAUAAUAUGUGUUUUUUUUUUCCAAAAAAACUAAAAAUAAUGUAUGUUAACCUUACUACUGUUUAUAUUUCUGAAGACAAUAAAAUCAGUAUGUUGAAAUAAAAUCUGUACUUCCAUGUGCAUUGUGGCACUACUCACAGUAGCCAAGAAGUGGAAACAACCUAAGUAUUAAUCAACAUAUUAAUGGUUAAAAUUAAGUGUGGUAAGUGUAUUCAAUGGAACACUUUUGAGCCAUAAAAAUGAUGAAAUUUGGUUAUUUUUGACAUCAUACAUGGAAAUGAAAACUGAUGUAUUUUAAAUGGUAUAUAAAUUUUUUAAAAUUGUAUUUAUUUAUCACAUAAGACCUCUUUUAAAGUGUUUAGGGAGCUGUUAUGUAGCAGGAGAAUUAGACAUUUUCUGUAUUUGGUUUCUAUAGGUAGGACUAAAAUAAAUGUAAAUAGCAAUCAGAUGGAUUAAAGGUCAGCAUAAACUUAAGACCUCUUGAAUGAUGAGGCUAUUUGGUAAGUGUUGAGUUUCUAGGAAGUGAGCCAAGCCAUGAAAAAUCAGUGCUAUGGAAUAGGUUAAAGCACUGGAGAGGUUGUUAGGCAAAAUGUCCUUUGAAUUCUCCUCAAGUGUUGAGCUUCUGUCUCUUUGUAAUUUGUUAGUUUUACUGCCUCAAAUAGGAAACAAUGUAAGAUACAUUUUAAAAAAAUGGCAGUCAUAACUGUCACUAAGUUAGUUCUUUAAGGUUUUGUUUUGUUUUGUUUUGUUUUAGUCCAACUCUGAAGAUUCCUGUCGACCAACGGCUUUUGGAAGGAAAUUUUAUUGGUAUUUUAUUUGGUGGCAGCAUUUAUCCAAACACAAUCUGCUCAGGCCUAAAUAAUAAUAAAAACUGCACAUGGAAUUUUGUUAAAACAGAAAUAAAUUGAUUCAAAUUUACUUGUGCCAGUUAAUUUUUAUGAAUUAAUUUUUUGAACCACUUUUUUAAUGAAGUCUAUUUCAUUAGUUUAGUUUCCACAAUCAUUAUUCUGUUUUGUGGAUUUCUUUCUCUCAAUUGAAAGGGCAAAUUGGGGCACAUUCAGUCUAGGAAUAAAGGGCUUUUUUUGAGUAGAAAUGAGAAUGGCAACCUGAGGCAAAACAAAAUUUCUAGUUGCCCAGAGGAAGUUCUCCUGAAAUGAUA